rnacentral:rRNA from 1 species
AGAGUUUGAUCAUGGCUCAGGACGAACGCUGGCGGCGUGCCUAAUACAUGCAAGUCGAGCGGACCGACGGGAGCUUGCUCCCUUAGGUCAGCGGCGGACGGGUGAGUAACACGUGGGUAACCUGCCUGUAAGACUGGGAUAACUCCGGGAAACCGGGGCUAAUACCGGAUGCUUGAUUGAACCGCAUGGUUCAAUCAUAAAAGGUGGCUUUCAGCUACCACUUACAGAUGGACCCGCGGCGCAUUAGCUAGUUGGUGAGGUAACGGCUCACCAAGGCGACGAUGCGUAGCCGACCUGAGAGGGUGAUCGGCCACACUGGGACUGAGACACGGCCCAGACUCCUACGGGAGGCAGCAGUAGGGAAUCUUCCGCAAUGGACGAAAGUCUGACGGAGCAACGCCGCGUGAGUGAUGAAGGUUUUCGGAUCGUAAAACUCUGUUGUUAGGGAAGAACAAGUGCCGUUCGAAUAGGGCGGUACCUUGACGGUACCUAACCAGAAAGCCACGGCUAACUACGUGCCAGCAGCCGCGGUAAUACGUAGGUGGCAAGCGUUGUCCGGAAUUAUUGGGCGUAAAGCGCGCGCAGGCGGUUUCUUAAGUCUGAUGUGAAAGCCCCCGGCUCAACCGGGGAGGGUCAUUGGAAACUGGGGAACUUGAGUGCAGAAGAGGAGAGUGGAAUUCCACGUGUAGCGGUGAAAUGCGUAGAGAUGUGGAGGAACACCAGUGGCGAAGGCGACUCUCUGGUCUGUAACUGACGCUGAGGCGCGAAAGCGUGGGGAGCGAACAGGAUUAGAUACCCUGGUAGUCCACGCCGUAAACGAUGAGUGCUAAGUGUUAGAGGGUUUCCGCCCUUUAGUGCUGCAGCAAACGCAUUAAGCACUCCGCCUGGGGAGUACGGUCGCAAGACUGAAACUCAAAGGAAUUGACGGGGGCCCGCACAAGCGGUGGAGCAUGUGGUUUAAUUCGAAGCAACGCGAAGAACCUUACCAGGUCUUGACAUCCUCUGACAACCCUAGAGAUAGGGCUUCCCCUUCGGGGGCAGAGUGACAGGGGGUGCAUGGUUGUCGUCA